AUGGUACCUUCCUUCAAUUAUCUUCACAAUAAUACUGAUCUCUCUAUAACCGCACCUUCAUCACCAAUCCUCACUCUCCUCGAGCCAAUUCUUCAAGCACUAUUGUGUCUUCAUCUUCAUCAUCAUCUCUCUACAUUCAACAUCAACAAAGAAAUUGCGCUUCAGCCUCAUAACAAGAACGCGCAUGCAAUUGAAUGCAACAACUUCAGAACUGCAAGCACGCUGAAAUUUAGAAAACGUAAAGGAAUCAGAAGUUGGGAAAGUAGGAGAAGUGAAAAAGAAAAUAAGAAAAGAAGAAGCAAGGAAGAGGAGUUGAGGUACCUGUGA